AUUGAACGCUGGCGGCAGGCCUAACACAUGCAAGUCGAGCGGCAGCACGGGUACUUGUACCUGGUGGCGAGCGGCGGACGGGUGAGUAAUGCCUAGGAAUCUGCCUGGUAGUGGGGGAUAACGUCCGGAAACGGGCGCUAAUACCGCAUACGUCCUACGGGAGAAAGUGGGGGAUCUUCGGACCUCACGCUAUUAGAUGAGCCUAGGUCGGAUUAGCUAGUUGGUGAGGUAAUGGCUCACCAAGGCGACGAUCCGUAACUGGUCUGAGAGGAUGAUCAGUCACACUGGAACUGAGACACGGUCCAGACUCCUACGGGAGGCAGCAGUGGGGAAUAUUGGACGAUGGGCGAAAGCCUGAUCCAGCCAUGCCGCGUGUGUGAAGAAGGUCUUCGGAUUGUAAAGCACUUUAAGUUGGGAGGAAGGGCAGUUACCUAAUACGUGAUUGUUUUGACGUUACCGACAGAAUAAGCACCGGCUAACUCUGUGCCAGCCGCCGCCGUAA
rnacentral:rRNA from 1 species